rnacentral:tRNA from 2 species
UCCCUGGGGGUCCAGUGGCUCGGACUCCACACUAUCAAUGCGGGGGGCCCAGGUUCGAUCCCUGGUCAGGGAA